GGAGGAGGAGGAGGAAACAACAUACAAAUUUAAGUUCUGUGCGUGUCCACCUUUGUCUCACUGACAAAAAAAAUCACAAAAGAUGUGGUUUGGAAAGAGCAAAUGGAAGUCGGAAAUCUUACUCUGUAGUGAGGUUUGAGUUGAUCACGCCGGCACGUCAAAUAGUAAAGGGGUUCGAAGACGUGUGGAAUAACUAACAAUCAGAAGUGUAAUUUAGCUCCUGUCACUCUAAUGGUUGCUGGAUUUGUGAUUUUACUGGGAGGAUAAAGAAAUGAGGCAGCCGGUGCGGCUCAGAACGGUACAUGAUGCCCGAUACCUUUAGAAAAGAAACGCUGUCAUGCACAGGACGCGCCUUUACGUUGCUAUGGCGAUGAAUCUUUCCGUUUCUGGUGGAGUGAGGAGGGCGUUCCACACCCGCCCAUCUUGUUUAUACCCUCCCAUUUCAAUUGAGGCACUCUCCACAGCUGCGAGUGUACUUCAUUACGAGUGACACUCUGUAGUGGAGGGAGAGUGUGUAGGGGUCGGUUUGGGAUUGGGCCUUUGACUAUCGGUGAAAAUUGUAAAAGGAGGGCUGACACCUACCCCCUCACACUGGUUCCAGACUUUAAAAAUUAGGAUGUAAAAAUCUUCAAUCUUGCUGCUGAUGGUCUUGUUUGUUUUGAAUAGCUUGAAAAGGCAUUAAUAUGGAGUUCACUGUAUUUUAUAGACGUAAAAAAAACUUCAAAUAGGAGCUUUAAAGGCCUCUCAGAGGAGCUUUAAAGAAUUUUUUUUUUUUUUAACUUACAGUGUACUCAAAAUCUAACUAAUUUAUGAACUAAACUCACUUUUGGAUGCAGCAUUGUGAAACUUUUUGUAAUACACACUACUUUCUAUUUUUUGCAUUGUUUUCUUUUAGGGACUAUAAUUCAGAGAAAGAAUAAGUCGAUGUUUAAUUGCUGCAAACUCUACACGGGAUUGAACUGUUUCAUAGUCAUUCAGUCAGACAUUUGCUGUGAGCUUUGGCGUAAAUAAUAAGAUAAACCUUGGUUGGAUUCUUUAUCUGCUUUACUUUGGGGGUGUUAAUAAUGUGCAUGCUGGUCUACUGUCACACGGCCAUGACUUACUGGGACACUUGAAUUGAAAAGAGCCAUUGUGAAUGUUAUUAGUAACACCUGGGCUUUUCAUAUAAAGAAAUAGGGGGCUUAUUUUGAAGGGAGGCAAAGGCUGAGCCCGCUGGUCCUUUGCGAACACUGUAAUUAUUUAAUAUGCACUGGGUAAUUAAAAAAGUACUUAAGGUGUAAUUUAUUUUCAGCUUCAUUCUAAAUGGAAAUGAGUUACCUCCCCCCCGAAGUGCCUGUACUUUUACCUACUGUUUAUCAACCGGUGAAUAUUUAAUUGGUAAUUCAUAUUAUAAAAACAUUUACAGAACACACUGCAGGCUGGGCUUAGCUUACAUAACCAUGUUUACUGUAAAAGGAGAAAGCCUUCUCUGUUCAGUUCAAAGGAUUUACACCAACACAUUUUGAUUUUAUCAGUGUACCAUCCCACUGUAACACACCUCAGCUGAAUGAACCGUAUGUUAGCAGCACCUUUCCAGCAUUGUCUGCCUUGGUCAGAGAAAUAAACAACAAAAAGGAGCCAGAGAACAUACCUUUAAUCUCUUGGAUUUUGCCUUUUACAGGUAAUUUUCUUCAUUUUGAUAAUGUUUUUAUGCGCACUGCCAUGUCCAGAUAAUACAACAUUGGAUGUUUUUCACAUUGAAACAGGCCUGAUUAGAAGCAUUUAUUUAUCAGAAGAAUUCAAAGAGGGAGAAAUCCACACAGACAACAGCUCCAACAGUGGACUUUCAUUUACAGACAGAGCUGAGCCAUCCCCAAUUCAAAUGCAAAUCUGCUGAAUAGAGGCUUUUGGAAAUUUGUUUGGAGUAGAGAGUGAAUGGAGUUCAACUCCAGCCCAGUCGUGCGUUAACAGGAGGUAAUCCAAAUCUGACAAUCAAUAGAUGUUUUCAGAUGUAAGCGAUUUUGGGGCUGUUACAGUUUGAUAAAAAAGUGAAAGCCUCUAAUAUCACCCCACAGCAUCCUCGAUUACUGCAUGUUUUACUGAUUACGUUUAAUAAAAAUCAACUCUGCUGCUCUGUGGAAUUCAAAAUGCUGGGAAAAAAAGUAGCAAAACAAUUGAGACAGGAGCCACUCCCUUACCUUAAACAGCUCUCAGCAAAACGGAGGAGAUGGAGUUUGCUAAAAAUGAGAGAAAACAUGUCUGAAAGGGUAUAAAUCUUUAAUCAAACGGUGGUGACGUGCCUUGCCUCCAGCACUCGCAGUGCCAAGCUGCAGAGCAGAUGCUGAGAUCUCAGAUCUUGCUUCCCCCCAAAAACAGCAUAAAUCCCCCUCUCCAGUACAAAAGUGUCAUGGGAGCUGCUCUCUCUGCACUGAAGCUGCUGUGUUUUGGGUUCCCUCCUCAGAAACUCCCACAGGGACCCAGCACUAUUUCGGCAUUUUGAAAAGGGUAAGGAACAGGAGGAAGGGAGGCACAUAUUUAAUCAUUUCGCCUCAGGUUUAAGAUCUAAAACAGUCCUCAUAUAAACAUGCAAAAGUCACAUUGUUUAUUAAGUUUAGAACGGGCUGAGCAUGAGCCGGUUAAGGAAAUGACACCAGAAAAUGAUGUAGGAUUCAGAGGAUGGAUAUUUUCUGCUCUGAGUCAAGCUUUAUUUUUGCAGAUUGAAAUGAUAAUUCAUGUCUGUGUCCUAUUUAAUACAAACCUGCUAUUUCAGAAAGCACCUUUAACAUCUCUAUUCAACUAAAUCUGCUUUCUCAUUGAUCGCCUCCUGGAGGGCAAACUCUCCUCCUCUGGAGUUCACAUUACAGGCAUCUUGACAGUGUAUGGAUUUUAUGGUAAGUGCUGCUAACAUGCCGUACAUUACAGCUGUAGUAUGAAGAGGAAGUGAUUAUUUAUGAAUGAAACCAAUUAAUGGACGCGAACUGCAGGAAAAAAGCACGAAGUGCAUUAGACAACAUCAGACACAUUUUAGAGUAGUAUAUACUGUAAUCAGCGCGUCAGUGAGUGCUAUUUGUAUAACUCUAUUCAUAUAAAGUGUUUUUAUACGCCGAUGAUGCAUUCAUUCAUCAUUGGAGAGUAUUUCAGCAAAGCAGAGACACUACGUCAAACUGUGAGGGUUUUUUUGUAGCUCAAAACAACAAAGAGAUUAUAAACUAUAAUCACGGUAAAGCAUUGGUUAUCUUCUUCCGUUUUAUUUCUGUUGAUAGCUGCUUAUACCACUCAAGAAAGCUCAACCGUCUUAUAGAAGAUCGUUGCAAAUGAUCUGCCGCACACUCGUACACACAAACACGAGAUUUCAAAGAGGCUCUGCUCACUCUCAGUGUUUGCUUUUAUGCGCACAUGUACCCACAGGAGCGCACACACUCAAUGUAAACAGAUGAAAAGAAAAAACUAGAGAUCGCAUACGGAGGCAGUUGUGUUUCUCUAAGAAUACAAACAUGCAUAUGAAUGUGUGCAUGAUUGUAAUGCACAUGUACAGAACAGGAUGGGAGGCGAAUAUGUCCCAAAUGGCAGUCGAUUAUCCUCACUGGGAGGAGAACAACAGCAGAGGAGAAUUAGUAUGCAUAAUUAGUUUCUUAUUCUCGUGGAAUAUUUCACACUCUAUAGAUAUAUACAGAGAGAGAGACAAUCAGACCGAGACAAAGGGAGACUGAUGCUGCAGGUAGAGAGAGGAGGGGGGAAAAAAGGAUUCAUUGAAUGUUUGGAUCUUAAAGUGAGAAAUCACUCUUUCACACUCUAUCAGAGAGAAAAAUGAGACCAUGUUUUAAAAAAUGCUGAUGAAGACAAAGGAGACAAAUGAAGAACAUAAAAUCCAAUUCAUCAUUCUGCCCAGUUUAAGGUGGAAUUAAAUAUUUUACUGAGUGAGAGACUUGUGGAUUUUGUUUUUUAUAGACAAGCAAACACUCCCACUUUGUUUGUUAGUCUAAAACAGAAAUAUGUUGUUAGCUGUUACUGCUUCUGGUUUAAACUUGUUUUCAGAGAUAGACAGACACUCUACACAUUGACAGCUGGAUUUGAUCUCUCUCUCUCUCUGAAUCUUUAUCCAUUUUUAUCAUCGAUCCAUCAGCCAAUAGAUGAAAAGCCUGGAGGAAAUGCCAACCCAAACAACUUUGAUUAUCGUUGAAUUAUUAAUAGCAGCAUAAAAAUAAAGUGAAACCUCUUUAGGUUCACUAUAGCAGCUGUGAUUUACAUAAAGGCUGAGGGGAAGUAAUUGUACCACUUUUGUAUAGCUAUAAAAAACUGUUUGCAAAACGUUAUCCAACUUAAAUUUUCCAUAAAGCCCUGGAAAGUGGACCGGUUUCUAGUGUUUGCUGCACUAAGUGGACUCAGCAGAGGAAAAAAGUAAAGCUUAUCACUUUAUAACUUUUGAUUCACCUCAAACUGGAUUAAAACAACCAGAGCCAACAUGUGUGAUGGCUACUAUGUCAUCCAACUUCAGAAAUGACUGAGACGGACACUAUAAACGACCUGUCAGUUAGAUAGACAGUGAUGAAGAUGGCUGAUUGGACAUUUAGCUACAUGUCUUGACUGGACUAUUGGGUGGAUACAAGUCCCAGAAAGACCUGGACUGGGUAUCUGCUUCAUGAAUGAACUCAGAAAAGUAGCUGGUACCUGAUUGCCAUCACAUACACAACAAACAACAUCCAGUUGUGUCCAAAUGCCAACACAACACAUGGAAAGCAGCAAACGUUCAUAUCACAAUAACUGCGCACAAUUUAAGACAGCUUGUCAGAGAGUCCACAUAUCACCAUCCACUACUUGAGCUGAGCCAUUUCUAUGUGGAAAUAUUACUUGUAAUUUAUCACUUGAAAUAUUACCACCAUUUUAAUGUUUAGCGGCUGUGACGGAGCGGCGUCCUCACUGACCCGCGGCCAGCGCAUGGAGCCACAUGCACACACACACAUAUUAAAGCUAAAACAAACAGGAUGCGUAUUUGGAGAGUGGCAGCAGCUUUGCGUAUCACGCAGCAAACAGGACUUUUAACCGCUAUCUCUGUCUGAAGGUAACAGCACAGCAUAAAGGAACUUAGUUUACUUUAUUAAACACAAGUAAACCUGCAAAAACCAAAACUGUAAAAUCACGUUGUUUUUUCACAUAAAGUAGAGGCUCGACAAUCACUGAAUUAUAUCCAAAUUAGCAGGAAAUCAACCAAAGAAAGGCAAAACAACCUGUUGUGAGCAUGUUGUUUCCUCUAUACUGAGCCCAGCUGACCGCGGCUGCACUACGCUGCUGCUGCGCUCUAAAUACGCAUCCUGUACGCGAUAAACGCCGCUGCUCUACGGAGCGGAUACAGAACGCGCUCAAUCCGGAUCCUGUAUGUUUUCGGCGUUACGCGCCAAACAUUUCCCUCCCCGCCAGCGUCGGUAAUACCCACCAAACAGCGAUACUUUUCCUCCUCCCUUUUCUGUUGCAUAAAGUAACCAAGGCUGCACAAUUGUGGCCCUACCGGCUAAUUUAAACAUGUAUUCACAUAGAUAUUCAUCUCUCCACUUACCUGCCGGGCGUCCAUUCACGUCAUCAUGCCGGAUCCGGUUUAAAAAUGGGGAAUUAGAGCGCGUGAUUUCCGGAAGUAAAAUAGGUGGGUAUGGCAGGUCAAAGUGGUCACAUGAUACAAGAAAAAUAAAAUCCCUUGUUGGUUUGAAUUUAUGCUCCAUUGAUUUCUGUAAAAACUUACAGAAAAGGGUUUGAAGGUUAAAAAUGGUUUAAAUGUGAAUAAAUUAGUUCCCCCCCCCAAACUUAUUAAAUUGAUAAUGCCCACUGGGAGGGGCUAAGGGGGGUUAAAAGAUGGCUGCCUGGACCUUUCUUUGAGUCUGGAGUUUGUUGCAUGAAAGGUAAGUGUUGAACAAACUUUUGUUGUGCUGCUGUGUUUCUGUUUUUCUUUUUCUUGGGUGAGAAUCUUGAGUUAUAGCGGAACUCUUGCCUUGUUGGCAUUUUCUUUUUUGCCUUCUACAUUUUGUAAAUAGUAUUCAACUCUUUUUUGCACUUUUGUAAAUAUUUUUGCACUGCACUUCUGAAGGCCGUCUGUAAAUAUAUAUCACCAUCAUCGUAUUUCUCUCACAACGCCUGUGUUUUUCCACUAUGUUUUGAUUGUUUAAGCGAGAACCCUGCGACAGGGAGCUUUGUGCAUAUUUAGUAAAAUACUCUGAGUGAGGAGGCACAUGUGAAAAAGACACUUUUUUCCCUUUUUCAAAAAAGAAAAUGACAUCAGUAAGUGACAAAACAGCGCUGGUGACGCUGUUGUGAUUUCAGUAUCAUGGCUAAGCAACAUGGACAGCUCAGUCCGAGGGAAAAUCUAAUAUAUGAAUGUACUUUAGGAACAAUAAAAUGGGUACGUAGUUGGUUUCCCACUUACCAGCAAUUUCCACCACAUCCGGAACGGCUACAAAAAGGCCAUAUCCGCCGAUCGUAGCCGAUCAUAACCAUUCAAGUCAAUGUGUCAAUUUCCACCAGCAUAGCAGACUGCUGUAGACUUUAAACUGUCUGAGUUAUGUUGGUAAUCGUUGUCCGUCACAUUCAUCCAUUUUUGACCAUUGCCCCCAGUUUUAAUCAAUCCGUACAACAAGCAGCAAAGGACGAUAGUGUUAUCACAUGCAUCACUAGAGUAUGGGGAUCAUUUCAGGCCACGUAUGCAUAGCGUUAAUCGUAACGCCAAGACACAUAAGACUGAGAAAAUAAAGCUGUAAAACUAAAACUGCAGACACACUGGUAAAUGUGCCUGUCUGCUCGGUGUGGGCAGGUGAUUUUCACUUUUUCUUUUUGUCUAUUUUGAAAGCAGCCACUUGGUGAAUCUUAAAAGGAGACAGGUGGGAGCACUGAGAGUUAACCAAAACAUGAGUCGGUGGGGAAAAGCUUGAUAAAGCUGUGUGGGAGGGAAGCUACAGAGUUGGAUGAAAUUCUUAUUUUUCCUAGCACCGGGUGACCACUGUCACAUAAAACAAACAAUUUGGUCCAUUUCUUUAAAUAAAAGCAGCUCUAAGCCCCGAAUGAACCUUACUUGCACUGCCGAACGCAACCCACAGCUAUUUCCAUUUUUUCGAUAACAGGCGUAACUUGUCCACAACACUAAAACUCAGCAGGCUACUGCGACACACAGGCGACACUUUCUCUUUUCUCAUUCCCUCUGGGCAAUGCGCAUCUGCAUCUGAACCACAUGGUUUCCUCUGAAUUACGCUUAAGAAACUCAAUCUGACAAAAUGGGCUGAACUGUGGAUCUGACUUCCUUACAACUUAAUCUCUGGGUGAAAGAGAGAAAUUAUAAUAAGGAACUGUCUGCUGCCUUUUAAUAAACCAGGACAGCAAA